UGGCCCCCAUCUCUUCCCCACGCCCACCUUAUCCAAUCAUCUCAGGAAAGGCAUGCCGCCGGCAGCGCUGGAACCGAUCUGGCGCGGUGGCUCCCGUUGACGCCGUGUGCCCCCGGAACCUCUCAUGCAUCCUCUCAGCCACACGGCCCACCAACACCAUGGCCCUCUCGUCACCAUCUCUUCCACCCCAUCCCCAUCUUCUCCGAUGCCGACCUCGGCAAGCAUGCCGGCGACACAUCUCCUGCCCCCUCCUCUGCGCAUUAGUCCCAGCGCCCAACAUCUCCACACCCCCUCCUCCUCGCCAUCUCCUCCACCCCCUGUCCCGUCUCCUGCCGCUGACCGCCGCCGGCUAUGUGUUGCUUCCUUGGCGGCGGCGUUUCCGCAUACUCCUCCUCCUCCUUCCCCACUGUCACUGAAGCGCCCCAUGUGGAGGUGCUAUGCUUGGCUAGGUCCUUCCCAAUCCUCAUCCCUCCCACCCGUGCCGCCUCCAAAAUUCAUUUUUUUUGUUACCCAGAGUUCAAUUCGUGCGUCCAGGUCGAACUCUCUAGAAGCCAGUCUUGCAGAGUUGCAGUCCAAUAUAAAUCAAAUGGGUAGGCAGAUGGGACUCAAGCUGCUUGCACUACACCUCAAGAGCCACACGCUCGUCACGCCAAUCUGGAGUUAUCGGCUCCAACGCUCGCAUGUCUUGCAAUUGCGAAGCCAAUGUAAGGAGUCUGAUGCGCCCGCUGGCGUGCAUUCCUUCAGUGCCUCUCCUCUGGCAUCAACCUGAAUGACCACGGCAAUCGUUGAAUGUGAGGUGAUCAUUGCUUUCAAUUCAUUUUUGUGUUUAUACUGAAGUGAUUUGGUGUCUGUUUUGCAGGAUAGUUUAACUUGCGAGAAAAUACUAUUGCAUUUUCAAAAAACGAUUAUGCUUGAUCUUAUAAGCAAUAUUGCAUUUUAAAAAGUAUUUCUCACCAAGGAAGGUAAUUAUAAUAAGCAUAAGAAUCAGCAUGUGAUUGUUUUUAGGAUAACUGAAAUAUGCAAAAAAAAAAUUGCCAAAAGAUCCUGAUCUUACUAAGCACAGAGUUCUUGGCUUAAGUACCAGGCAGUAGGUGACUGGUUUUCAUGGCGUUACAGCCAAAUCUUGCUUUAUGUAAUGUAAGAAGAGGCUGAAAGUUUGUUCUAUUAAACAGCAAUCUAAUGAUAUAUUAUAUACAGCAAAGGUUGCCUGCAAGAAGCAUUGCCUUCUGUACGUUGAGCAUUUGUUUGUAUAUCUAAGCUCAAUAAAUUGCGUUUCACAAUGACAAUUCUGAUAUGUUGUUAGUCGUUCAGCUUAGCAAUUCCACAAGUUGUAGUUCCAGCCAAACAUCUAAAUACUGAGCUCAAAUUGCAGAAAAUACUGGGUGUUCAGUACUCGAUUUUGGACUAUAUGUUCACCUAUCUCUAGGGUUCCAUGAUCUCAUCUAAAGGAUCUUUUUUGCUAACACAUACCUUGAUGUUGACAUCGACAGCAGCAGAGAUAAUAUACGCCAUAUAAUCUUGUAAACAUAUGUGUAGAUCAGUACAAGUACUUUCAGUCUUCCUCCUUGUGAAUUAGUCUUUCAAGCUGUGGAUGGUCAGGAGUCGCUUGAGCCCUGCAAAGAUAAUGUUCAAGCUACAGCUUGAGUCAGAAUUUGUACGGAUACAUGAAAAUGUGAUGUAUGCCGAGAAAAGGUCUGUUUGCUAUGCAAUUCAAUUUUUAGCUUGCAAUUGCAGUUAGAAGUUCAAACCGCAACUCAAAUAUGUUGUUAAUUUACAGUGAGCAUCCACUUGCAGAAGAUUUGUGCCUGGAUGUGCUAAUUGACAGUGAAAUGUAGAAAUAAGUUGCAACUUUGUAAUAUCCAUCUGAUAUGUGAAACAAGAAUUGUUACUAAUUCACAACAUGUAUCUACGAUUGUGAGAUGGGACACCAUGUGCACAGGGGAGGCAACACAAGGUCGAGAGAAAAGCCCGUGUAGAAAGAGAUGCAACAUAUGGCCAUCAUUACAACUGUUAUAUUUUUGUAUAUGUUGUAAUUAUUCAUGCAAAGGUUACAGGCUUGAUGCACAAUUAUAAGUAUCUGGAGGAGUUGACGAAGCGUGGAGUUUUUUCUUGACAAUACAAAGAGUAUGAGUUAGGAGACGUUGAAGUGCAACUACAGAGCAAGCAUGACAGAGGUGAAGCUUUUACUGGAGAAAGUUGCGUAAAGUCUUUUUUAAGGAAAAGUUGUGUUUUCUUACAGCCGUGGAGUAGGAUCCAGAUAGGGAAGGGAAGGGGCUAGAGCAACAAUAGUGUCCUUACCCAUUAGACUUUAAUCUAUGUACCUUCUAAUCAUUUACCCGAUUACUGCGGAAAUAGAAGAUGAAAGAUGAGAUAUGAACU